ACUCCUGCGGGAGGCAGCAGUGAGGAAUAUUGGACAAUGGGUGGAAGCCUGAUCCAGCCAUCCCGCGUGCAGGAAGACGGCCCUAUGGGUUGUAAACUGCUUUUAUCUGGGGAUAAACCUACUUACGUGUAAGUAGCUGAAGGUACCAGAAGAAUAAGCACCGGCUAACUCCGUGCCAGCAGCCGCGGUAAUACGGAGGGUGCAAGCGUUAUCCGGAUUUAUUGGGUUUAAAGGGUCCGUAGGCGGACUGAUAAGUCAGUGGUGAAAUCCGACAGCUUAACUGUCGAACUGCCAUUGAUACUGUUAGUCUUGAGUAAGGUUGAAGUGGCUGGAAUAAGUAGUGUAGCGGUGAAAUGCAUAGAUAUUACUUAGAACACCAAUUGCGAAGGCAGGUCACUAAGUCUUAACUGACGCUGAUGGACGAAAGCGUGGGGAGCGAACAGGAUUAGAAACCCCGGUAGUCCCAGAU
rnacentral:rRNA from 1 species